GGUAGAUCCUGUUUGACAAAAGAACUCGCCCCACGCCACCGUGGCCAGAGGAGACUCCAGCAGCAGCAGCAGCAGGAGCAGAUCCCGGGGAGGGAGGAAGCAGGGGCAGCUGGGCCUGCUGUGCACAUACACAGAUAGACAUGUAGAUACCUUGUCACUGCUCUUCUGCCUCCACAUUUCUGGGGGACUGGGAGUUUUGUCUUCACACAGGAACUCCGCCACAGCAGCAUUUUCCAGUCCGUGGCACCUUGAUCCCAGGAUGUGCUCCGCACCGUGCUUCUAGGGCAUCAACAUCUGCUGCUGCACAAAGGCCCCUGAAAGGAAAAGCACCCUCGCACGUUUGCGCUGCUCCCACACUCCCCAGAACUGUCUCUCAAAUCUCACAUAACACAGACUCUCUCAGACUCUUGACUGCAGCCCAAUAGCACAGCAUCCCCUCUCUCACUUCAUGAGCCAAGAGCCAUAGUUUGUGUCCCUUUUUAAGUUUUAGUGACACAAUCAGGCAAGAACUUAGGUUUGCCCAUCCUGCAGCCAGGAAUGCUCCAACCUGAGGGGGGAGUGGCCGUGAGAGCAACGUCUCUGUGCAAGUGCAGCUCGUUCCUCCCCUCUGACAGGGGCAGAAGGAGGGAGGCAACAGACAAAAGCAGAAAGCGUCUGCAUAUCCCUCGUGGCUCCAAUUUCCUGCCUCACGCUGGGAAACGAGCUGAGCCGCUGGGCCUCUCCGUUAUGCUUAGCUCUGCAGCUCGGACAUCAUCUUUACACUCAGCUGUUCCUGGGCAUAAUGCUCCACACAAUGACCCUGCAGAUCCCCAAGGCCUGCCUGCCUGCCUGCUGUCACUCACCUGGAGGUUGCAGGGUGCUGUGCCUCCUGGCUGGACUUGCUGCUGCUAGGUGUCACUUGCAAGACACUGAGAGUCCACCUGCUUGGAACUGCAGGCAACAAACACAAACGAGAAAGAAGGAAGAAAGGAUUCUUGGAUUUCACAGGCUUCCACAGGCUUCAUUAAAACACGAUCUGCUGUGGAGCACAGCUGCAAGCAUUUCACCUGGGCAAAAAAGGGGUGGAGCCUGGCUCCAGCCCUCCCCACCCUCGUUUAAGGGCUGCCUGUCUAAGGGGAAGAAUCUCUACUGGCAGAUCUGCUCUGUGCUAAUACUUUCUGAGUCCUGUUCUUCAGAAAGGGCUCUUUGUUUACUAGCUUGAGUCCUUCCCCAUUCUUAGGAAAAUUAAAACACAGGAAAGCAGCUGGAUCAGCUACUGCCUUUCACUACAGUUACCAUUUUAGGUUAUGGAUCAAGGUUGAACUGUACAGAGAGAGUGCAGCCACAAGGCUCUGGCUGUGCCGGGCCUCCCACCAGCCCGGGCCCCAAAGCAGCCCCAACUGUGCCUGGUCCUCCUCCAUCCUGGGCCCCAAAGCAGCCCCAACUGUGCCUGGUCCUCCUCCAUCCUGGGCCCCAAAGCAGCCCCAACUGUGCCUGGUCCUGCUUCAUCCUGGGCACCAAGAGCCUGGCUGUGCCGGGGCUCCCUUUGGUCUGGCCAAGAGCAGGCCUCAACUGUGCCAGGCCCCCCUCCAGCCCAGGCCCCAAAGCAGCCCCAACUGUGCCAGGCACCUUUCCAGCUCGGGCCCCAAAGCAGCCCCAACUGUGCCUGGCACCUUUCCAGCUCGGGCCCCAAGCAGCCCCAACUGUGCCUGGUCCUCCUCCAUCCUGGGCCCCAAGGUCCAGGAUGUGCCGGGGCGCCCUUUGGUCUGGGCCCAGAGGAGGCUUCAACUGUGCUAGGCCUCCCUCCAGCUCGGGCUCCCCCAGUGCAACCCGAAAUGCACCUGGUCCUCCUCCAUCCUCAACCCCAACACAGCCCCAACUGAGCCUGUCCUCUCCAUCCUGACCCCAAAGCAGCCCCAGCUGUGCCAUGUCCUCCUC
ensembl:lncRNA